AGAGUUUGAUCCUGGCUCAGGAUGAACGCUAGCUACAGGCUUAACACAUGCAAGUCGAGGGGAAACGACAUCGAAAGCUUGCUUUUGAUGGGCGUCGACCGGCGCACGGGUGAGUAACGCGUAUCCAACCUGCCCACCACUUGGGGAUAACCUUGCGAAAGUAAGACUAAUACCCAAUGAUAUCUCUAGAAGACAUCUGAAAGAGAUUAAAGAUUUAUCGGUGAUGGAUGGGGAUGCGUCUGAUUAGCUUGUUGGCGGGUAACGGCCACAAGGCGACGAUCAGUAGGGGUUCUGAGAGGAAGGUCCCCCANAUUGGAACUGAGACACGGUCCAAACUCUACGGGAGCA
rnacentral:rRNA from 1 species